rnacentral:tRNA from 1 species
GCCCGAGUGGCGGAAUAGGUAGACGCGUUGGACUUAAAAUCCAAUGUCAGUGAUGACGUGCCGGUUCGAGCCCGGCCUCGGGUACCA